GAUAUGUGAAGGUGGACGCAGGGGUUGUACUCCUGACUCUAGCAAUGUCUGGGAGUGAGCUGCAAUGUUGGGGAAGCCAUAUCCUGGAAGGUCGUCUUUCAGGGUGAUUGUCCAUGUCAGGGUAUAACUUCUGGACUGAGAAUCAGGGCCUUUAGAGUCCCUCAUUCACAUUGAAAAGGAAAUACUUCCUUCUCUUCCCUGGAGACUCAGCUUCUGUUAGUCCUUCCCACACCUGGGGUGGAGCCUGCUCUGUCUCACUGGCAUCUUGUUUUUAUCAUUUCUAAGCUCUUUUGGGGAGCACGUACAGCACCCUGGCCACCUUUCUAUUUUCAAUCCCUUACAACAGAACCACUACAUUCCAGCCACUCCAGAAAGCAUUUGUUGAAGGACUGCCUGAGAUGCCGGAAGGAAAUGCAUGUGCCUUUCUCUGUCUAGAGGUUUUGUGUCCGUUUCUAGGAGUCUUUCAAUUUUGCAUGUGACUCUUGAAUACAUCCAGUACCAAGUUGAAACCCUUUAAAGUAACACCAUGAACAAAAUAGUCUGAGGGCAACACAGCAAACCAGCCUUUCUAAGCAUUUCCCUUUGCUGCCUUCACUGUCAAUGAACUGAGUCUUCUUCAAGUACAUUGGCUCCAUGAAGUUGAUAGUUUUCCAUCUGAAAUCUGUUUCCUGGAGAUAAACCCAGACUGUGUGACAGUUCAUAUCAGGUUCUACCUCAGGUGAUGUUGCUGCUCUAAGAUUGGCCUUUUCCUCCACCAGGAUAUGUGAAGGUGGACGCAGGGGUUGUACUCCUGACUCUAGCAAUGUCUGGGAGUGAGCUGCAAUGUUGGGGAAGCCAUAUCCUGGAAGGUCGUCUUUUAGGGAAGCUGAAAAUGACACAGUGUGAACUGGCGGCAAAGAAGAAUCAGCUGGCAGCUGCAGGGAAAAUGUGAAAAUAGCCAUGAAAGAAAUAAACAAGUACAAGCAACAAAAUGAACAAAGACAAGAACAGCUGCAGCAGGCAGAACUCACCUUCAGACACCAGAUCGCAGUUCAUGAGAAUAAUGCUCAGGACAACUGGAUCAAGCCUCAGAUCUGGGAGAGGGAAAUGGCAGAGCAGAGCCGGGAGGUCGCCCGCUUGAAACACAGACUGGAUGUGAUGGAAGGAAAGAGGCUGCUUGAGGGAUACAGGAGGCGGAGAACAAUGCCUGGAAGUCCAGAGACGCAGAACCCUCCGAGGAGAGUAAGGAGCACGUGGUGAUGUGCAGCAGCCUAAUUUCUGCGGCAAAGCGUUUUCCUGUGGGUGAUCAUCGUGUGUCCUGGACAGAACCACAAUUACUACCUAAGGAUAGCAGGUGGUCUGAAGGGGUGACAGGAGGGCGUUCUCCUCUGGUGCCCCAGGCAGCGGAGCACCUGUCCCUGUGACUGGUGGAGCUCAGGCCCCUCCCCUGACUGCGGACCCUCCCACCUCCUCCAGCAUGCCCUAGCUAAAGAGAGGAUCCUGGAGGGGAUGACGGGACAUGGGCCUUAGCUUUCUUCCCACCUUGACACAAUGUGAAGACUUUAUUUUAGUUUUGUUUGAGGAGUUCAUUCCGUUACUAUUUUUAAUGUUGUCAUUUUUAUUUUAUUUUUUCUUGAACCAUAGCCCUACGUUCCUAAAUUCAGGCU
rnacentral:lncRNA from 1 species